CCCGGGCCUUGUACACACCGCCCGUCACACCACGAGAGUUUGUAACACCCGAAGUCGGUGGGGUAACCAUUUGGAGCCAGCCGCCGAAGGUGGGACAGAUGAUUGGGGUG
rnacentral:rRNA from 1 species